UGGGGAAUAUUGCACAAUGGGCGCAAGCCUGAUGCAGCCAUGCCGCGUGUAUGAAGAAGGCCUUCGGGUUGUAAAGUACUUUCAGCGGGGAGGAAGGGAGUAAAGUUAAUACCUUUGCUCAUUGACGUUACCCGCAGAAGAAGCACCGGCUAACUCCGUGCCAGCAGCCGCGGUAAUACGGAGGGUGCAAGCGUUAAUCGGAAUUACUGGGCGUAAAGCGCACGCAGGCGGUUUGUUAAGUCAGAUGUGAAAUCCCCGGGCUCAACCUGGGAACUGCAUCUGAUACUGGCAAGCUUGAGUCUCGUAGAGGGGGGUAGAAUUCCAGGUGGAGCGGUGAAAUGCGUAGAGAUCUGGAGGAAUACCGGUGGCGAAGGCGGCCCCCUGGACGAAGACUGACGCUCAGGUGCGAAAGCGUGGGGGGCAAACAGG
rnacentral:rRNA from 1 species